rnacentral:rRNA from 1 species
ACGACAGGUCAGUAUGCUCCGAAUGCUCUGGGCUACACGCGCGCUACAAAGGCCAGGACAAUGGGUCUGCCACUUCGAGAGAAGGCGCUAUCCCGAAACCUGGUCGUAGUUCGGAUCGUGGGCUGUAAUUCGCCCACGUGAAGCUGGAUUUCGUAGUAAUCGCGUCUCAAAAUGGCGCGGUGAAUAUGCCCCUGCUCCUU